rnacentral:lncRNA from 1 species
AGAGCAGAGCCCGAUGGGCUGUCUCCAUGCUAAAGGGAGCCUCGAGUUGGUCUGCAUUCCAGGGAUGGAACCCAUGACACAACAGUGAACUGAGCUGUUAGAGUGACGUUGGAUCCUUAGCCCUCUGUGCUGCAAGAAAAUGCCACACUUUUAAUUUCUAUGAGGUUGGUAGUGAUAGUCCCUCUUUUGUUUUUUUAUUUUGGUGAUUUGUGUUUUUUUCUCUUUUUCUUGGUCAGUCUAGUUUUGUCAAUUUUGUUAAUCCUAACAUUUCAGUUUCAUCGUUUUGUCUUAUUGUUCUUAUGUUUUUUUCUCUUUCAUUGAUUUCUUUUCUCAUCUUUAUUAUUUACUUACUUUUGAUUGCUUUGGGGUUUAGUUUGCACUUCUUUUUUUGUUUGUUUGUUUUUUUGUUGUUUUAGGGCCGAACCCUCGGCAUAUGUAGGUUCCCAGGCUGGGGGUCUAAUCUCACCUGCAGCCGCUGGCCUACACCACAGCCACAGCAACACCAGAUCCAAGCUGAGUCUGCAACCUACACCACAGCUCACAGCAACGCUGAAUCCUUAAUCCACUGAGUGAGGCCAGGAAUUGAACCUGAAACCUUAUGGUUCAUAGUCAGAUUUGUUUCCGCUGCGCCACGCCAGGAGCUCCUGCACUUCUUUUUCUAAUGCUUACAGUGGAAGUUUAGGUUAUUGAUUUGGUAUCUUUUUUUCUAGUAUAAGUUUUUAAAGCUAUAAAUGUACUGCUAAGUACUGCUUUAACUGCAUUCUAUAAAUUGAUUCGUUAUGUGUGGUCAUUCUUUUCAAAAUACUUUAAAAUUUGCCUUGUGAUUUUUUUUUUUUGACCUAUGAGUUAUUUUAGAAAUGAUUGUUUAAUGUCCAAAUUGUUGGUGAUUUCCCAAAUUUUCUUGUGUUGUUAUUUCUUAAUUUAAUUCCAAUGUGGUUGGAGAAUAUACCUUGUAUGUUUUUAAUCCUUUUCAAUUUAUUGUUGUUUGUUUAAUGGUCUAACAUAUCAUCCAUCUUGACAAAUAUUCUCAGCAUACUUGAAAAGAAUGUGUAUUCCUGCUCUUGUUGGGUAGAGUAUUCUAAUACAUGGCAGAUUAAGUUAUUUGAUAGUGUUGUUCAAGUCUUGUAGAUAGUUGCUGAUUUCAUGCCUAGUUGCUCCGUACAUUAUUGGGAAGUCGAAUAUUAAAAUCUCUAGUUACUAUUGUUUUUUCUUUUUCCUGUACAAACUGCAUGUUCCUUAAUUUUUUCCCCUAGUGCUUUGGAAAGCAUACAUUUGAAUAAUUAAUUAUAUUUUUCUUUUGGCUUUUAAAAAUGCAUUUAACCACUUAAAUUUUUUUAAUUAAAAAAUUUUAAUUAAAGUGUAGUUAACUACAAUAUUAUAUAAGUUAUGAUGUAUGGCAUAAUGAUCCAUGCUUUUUAAAGAUUAUACUCCAUUUACAGUUAUUAUAAAAUAUUGGCUAUAUUCCCCAUGUUGUACAGUAUGUCCUUGUAGCUUAUUUUAUACAUAGUAGUUUGUACUUCUUAAUCCCCUAACCCCAUCUUGCCCCUCUCUUCUUCCCUCUCUCCUCUGGUAACCACUAGUUUGUUUUUUUACAUAUGUGAGUCUGUUUCUUUUUUGUUAUAUUCAUUAGUUUGUUGUAUUUUUAAAAUUCUCUAUAUAAGUGAUAUAGCAUGUUUGUCUUGCUCUGUCUGACUUAUUUCACUUAGUAUAAUACCCUCCAAAUUCAUCCAUGUUGUUGCAAUUGGCAAAAUUUCAUUCUUUUUAAUGGCCGAGUAGUAUUCCAUUAUGUGUGUAUGUGUAUAAAACAUUUUAUUUACUCAUUCAUCUACUGAUGGGCAAUUAUGUUACAUCCAUAGCAUGGCACCCGUAAAUAAUGCACUACAAAAAUUGGGGUUCGUGUAUCUUUUCAAAUUGAGUUUUCAGGUUUUUUUUGGAUAUGUAUCAAGGAAUGGAAUUUCUGGGACAUGCCGUAGUCUUAGUUUUCUGAGAAACUUCCUUACUGUUUUCCACAGUGGCUGCACCAAUUUUCAUUCCCUUUGUACUAGGUUUCCCUUUUUCUCCAUGUCCUCACCAGCACUUCCUAUUUGUGUUCUUUUUGAUGACAGCCAUUCUGACAGGUAUGAGGUGAUAUCUCAUUGUGGUUUUAAUUUCCAUUUCUCUGACGAUUAAUGAUGUUGAGUAUCUUUUCAUGUGCCUGUUGGCCAUCUGAAUGUCCUCUUUGGAAAAAUGUCUAUUCAGGUCUUCUGCCCAUUUUUUAACUGGGUGUUUUUUUAUUUUUUUUUAUGUUGAACUAUAUAAGCUGUUUAUAUAUUUUGGAUGUUAACCUCUUAUUGGUCAUAAGAUUUGCAAACAUUUUCUCCUGUUCAGUAAGUUGUCUUUCUUACUAUUGUGGAAUUCUCUAUUUCUCUCUUCUGUUUUUUGUUUAGUGUAUUUUGGGGCUCAGUUGGUAUGUGUUUAUUAUAUCAUUUUGAUGCAUGUGUUUAUUAUAUGUGCUUAUUAUGUGUUUAUUAUAUCAUUUUGAUGAAUUGACCCUUUCAUCAUUACAAGUCUCUGUCUUUAGUAUGUUUUAUUGUCUUAAAAUCUAUUUUAUUUAAUAUUGAUAUAGACACUUGACUUAUAUGAUGCUGUUGGCAUGCUAUAUAUUUUUUCAUUCUUUUGCUUGCAACCUAUUUGUGUUUAUGGAUCCAAAAUAUCUCUUGUAGGAAGUGUUUAAAUGAAUCUGGUUUUUUAAAAAUCUGGUCUGAUAAUGUUUAGGUCAUGCACAUUUAAUCUAGCUAUUGAUAUGCUUGGAUUUCUCUCUGCAAUUUUGUUAUUUUUUUUCUAUAUGUUUCACGUCUUCUUUGGUUGUUGUGCUUCUGGUCUUCCUUUAUUGUCUCCUUUUGUGGUAAAUAAAUUUUUCUCCAAUGU